rnacentral:rRNA from 1 species
UACGUAGGGAGCGAGCGUUGUCCGGAUUUAUUUGGUGUAAGGGUGCGUAGGCGGCCAUGCAAGUCAGGCGUGUAAUCCGGAGGCCUAACCUCCGAACUGCGCUUGAAACUGUUUGGCUUGAGUGGAGUAGAGGCAGAUGGAAUUUCCAGUGUAGCGGUGAAAUGCGUAGAUAUUGGAAGGAGCACCAGUGGCGAAGGCGAUCUGCUGGGCUCUAACUGACGCUGAGGCACGAAAGCAUGGGGAGCAAACA